UGGAGAUGUGGUGCCACAUAACCCUGGCUGUC
rnacentral:piRNA from 1 species